UACGUAGGGGGCAAGCGUUAAUCGGAAUUACUGGGCGUAAAGCGUGCGCAGGCGGUCUGUUAAGAGAGGGGUGAAAUCCCCGGGCUUAACCUGGGAACUGCGCUUCUAACUGGCAGGCUGGAGUGUGGCAGAGGGGGGUGGAAUUCCACGUGUAGCAGUGAAAUGCGUAGAGAUGUGGAGGAACACCGAUGGCGAAGGCAGCCCCCUGGGCUAACACUGACGCUCAUGCACGAAAGCGUGGGGAGCAAACAGG
rnacentral:rRNA from 1 species